GAUGAACGCUGGCGGCGUGCCUAAUACAUGCAAGUCGAGCGAACAGACGAGGAGCUUGCUCCUCUGACGUUAGCGGCGGACGGGUGAGUAACACGUGGAUAACCUACCUAUAAGACUGGGAUAACUUCGGGAAACCGGAGCUAAUACCGGAUAAUAUAUUGAACCGCAUGGUUCAAUAGUGAAAGACGGUUUUGCUGUCACUUAUAGAUGGAUCCGCGCCGCAUUAGCUAGUUGGUAAGGUAACGGCUUACCAAGGCAACGAUGCGUAGCCGACCUGAGAGGGUGAUCGGCCACACUGGAACUGAGACACGGUCCAGACUCCAACGGGAGGCAGCAGUAGGGAAUCUUCCGCAAUGGGCGAAAGCCUGACGGAGCAACGCCGCGUGAGUGAUGAAGGUCUUCGGAUCGUAAAACUCUGUUAUUAGGGAAGAACAAAUGUGUAAGUAACUAUGCACGUCUUGACGGUACCUAAUCAGAAAGCCACGGCUAACUACGUG
rnacentral:rRNA from 1 species